rnacentral:rRNA from 1 species
GAUGAACGCUGGCGGCGUGCCUAAUACAUGCAAGUCGAGCGAACGGACGAUAAGCUUGCUUCUCUGAUGUUAGCGGCGGACGGGUGAGUAACACGUGGAUAACCUACCUAUAAGACUGGGAUAACUUCGGGAAACCGGAGCUAAUACCGGAUGAUAUUUUGAACCGCAUGGUUCAAAAGUGAAAGACGGUCUUGCUGUCACUUAUAGAUGGAUCCGCGCUGCAUUAGCUAGUUGGUAAGGUAACGGCUUACCAAGGCAACGAUGCAUAGCCGACCUGAGAGGGUGAUCGGCCACACUGGAACUGAGACACGGUCCAGACUCCUACGGGAGGCAGCAGUAGGGAAUAUUGCGCAAUGGGCGAAAGCCUGACGGAGCAACGCCGCGUGAGUGAUGAAGGUCUUCGGAUCGUAAAACUCUGUUAUUAGGGAAGAACAUAUGUGUAAGUAACUGUGCACAUCUUGACGGUACCUAAUCAGAAAGCCACGGCUAACUACGUG